AGCACUGAACUGCUCUACAAAGGCUACGCUCAAAUGCGCAGAGACACCCUACGAGGCUACACUAGGAGACAGCACUGGGAGACCGCGCAAGCUAGAGCUCAAAUGCAUUUGGACACUGUGCAUGGCACUCAAAAUACACUGGGAGACCAUGCAAGACGCUCAAAUGCACUGGCAGAAGGCACAAGGCAACGCUGGGAGACUACAGGGGGCGCGCAAAUGGGCUGGGAGACCACGCGAGGCGCCCAAAUGCGCUGGCGGACGCCAUGGGGGAGCUCAAAUGCGCUGGGAGACAACACGGGGGGUUCAAAUGCACUAAGAGACCAUACGAACUGGAGCUCAAAUGAACUGGGAGACCGCGCGAGGGGCUCAAAGGCGCUGGUGGACCGCGCUGGGCGCUCAAAUGCGCUGGGAGGCCGCGCCAGCUGGAGCUCAAAUGAACUGGGAGACUGCGCGAGGGGCUAAAAAUGCGCUGGUGGACCUUCCGAGGCGCUCAAAUGCGCUGGUGGACCACGCUGGAGGCUCAAAUGCGCUGGGAGGCCGCGCCAGCUGGAGGUCAAAUGAACUGGGAGACUGCGCGAGGGGCUCAACAUGCGCUGGUGGACCUCCGGAGGCGCUCAAAGGCGCUGGUGGACCGCGCUGGGCGCUCAAAUGCGCUGGGAGGCCGCGCCAGCUGGAGCUCAAAUGAACUGGGAGACCGCCCGAGGUGCUCAAAUGCGCUGGUGCACCGCACAGGGGCGCUCCAAUGCUCUGGCAGACAACGCGGGGGCGCUCAAAUGGGCUGGGAGACCAGGCGAGCUGGAGCUCAAAUGCGCUAGGAGACUGCGCAGAACACUCCAAUGUGCUGGGAGACGAUGCGGGUGCUCAUCAACUGAGCUGGGAGCCAGCCCUCAACUGCGUUGGAAAACCAGCCAGCGUGCUCAACUGAGAUGGGAGACCUCCGCAGGACUGAGACCAGACAGCUUCGCAGGCCACAGCUCUCUCAACCUGUGGGAUCCGGUAACGCUCCUCCUGUCCUCCCACAGGAUGACUCCUUCUAUAAAAACUCCCCAGGGUCCCUCGUAACUCACAGGGCCUAUCUUCAGAUCACAUUAAAACUAUAGGACUGGCCAGGCACAGUGCUCAUGCCUGUAAUCCUAGCACUCUGCAAGGCUGAAGCGGAAAGAUCGCUUGGAGCUCAGAAAUUCAAGACCAGCCUGAGUUAGAGACCUCGGCAACCUGUACUCUCAGCUAUUUGGGAGGCUAAAGAAGGAAGAUUACUUGAACCCAGGAGUUUGAGGUUGCUAUGAGAUAGGCUAAUGGAUGCAACUGUACUCUACUCUGGGUGACAGAGUGAGACGGUAUCAAAAAAGAAGUCUAAAACCAAAGAACUGAUAUUUGGGAUGUUAGAAGGAAUAUCAACAUAUUUGGUAGGUAUAUUGCAAUGUUUAAUAUGAACUCCAAAGUUUAUACUGAUUUAAUCUUGUGACAUAGUAUUAGACUAAGAAAAUGUUAAGUUUAUCAUAUUUACAAUGUUAAACUGUUACAUUUAUAAGAAUUAUUGCCAUACUAAAGUUUUUCAGUUGUUAAUUCAGACAUCUGAAGGACUCAAAAAAGGCAAAUCAAAUAUGGCUGACCAUCGACCGGAGUCCUCUCGGUCACAGAUUUUCUUUCUCUUCUCCAACCCCUGGAGACAGAAAAACCAACCUCUCCUCUCCCUUUCCUCAGCCUACUCAAUGUGAAGACAAUGGUGGAAACUGUUAUGAUGUCUUCCAUUUGCACUUAGUAAAUGUAUUUUCUCUUCCUUAUGAUUAUUUGAUUGUUUGUUGUUGUUUUGCAGUUUGAAUCCACCACCUCCGGUAUAUGGGGUCGGUGCCCUACCUACUCUUUGAGCCACAGGCGCCAUGUGGUUUUUUGGGGGUUUUUUUCACACCUUAAAUUAGGUUUAAAAAAUAGUACAUUACUGGGGCGGCACCUGUGGCUCAGUGGGUAGGACGCCGGACCCAUAUACCGAGGGUGGCGGGUUCAAGCCCGGCCCCAGCCAAACUGCAACAAGGAAAUAGUCGGGCAUUGUGGUAGGUGCCUGUAGUCCCAGCUACCCCAGAGGCUGAGGCAAGAGAAUCGCCUAAGCCCAGGAGUUGGAGGUUGCUGUGAGCUGUGUGACACCACGGCACUCUACCGAGAGCGAUAAAGUGAGACUCUGUCUAUACAAAAAAAAAAAGUACAUUACUGGGCCCCUAUGGCUCAGUAGAUAGGGUGCCAGCCCCAUAUAUUGAGGAUGAGGGGUUUGAACCCAACCCCGGCCAACUAAAACAGCAAUGAGAAUUGCAACAAAAAAUAGCCGGGCAUUGUGGUGGGCGCCUGUGGUCCCAGAUAUUCAGGAAGCUGAGGCAAGAGAAUCACUUAAGCCCAAGAGCUGGAGGUUGCUGUGAGCUGUGACAACACAGCACUCCACCAAGGGUGACAUAGUGAGACUCUGUGUCAAAAACAA